rnacentral:rRNA from 1 species
GUCUACGGCCAUGCCACCCUGAACAAGCCCGAUCCUGUCUGAUCUCGGAAGCUAAGCAGGGUCGGGCCUGGUUAGUACUUGGAUGGGAGACCACCUAGGAAGACCAGGUGCCGUAGGCA